rnacentral:rRNA from 1 species
UACGUAGGGGGCAAGCGUUGUCCGGAUUUAUUGGGCGUAAAGAGCGUGUAGGCGGCCGUACAGGUCAGCUGUGAAAACUCGAGGCUCAACCUCGAGACGUCGGUUGAAACCGUACGGCUAGAGUCCGGAAGAGGAGAGUGGAAUUCCCGGUGUAGCGGUGAAAUGCGCAGAUAUCGGGAAGAACACCGGUGGCGAAGGCGGCAUCCUGGACCGGCAUUGACGCUGAGGAGCGAAAGCCAGGGGAGCAAACGGG